CAAAGAUGGUCCGGCGGUUGAAACACAUGCUACAGGAAGUGCAACUGCAACAGAGUCAAAGGAAUCCAUAAACUAGUGGCAAAAUUGUGGUCAAGCCAUCUCCACCGUCUUGCUGGGUGCAGACCUUGCUAUCUUACACUGUCACUUGGGCCAGAAAAUGAUGUUGACUUGGGCGGAGGAGUCCUUGUGCCGCAGGCGAC